rnacentral:antisense_RNA from 1 species
CAGUUAAUGGGAAAAAGUCGCCAUCGCGUGGUUCUUUUGAUGCUGUCGCUGUAGACAAAACAACUGUGUCCCCGUAGCGUACGAGUACAGCACCAUUCGCUUGUUUUGCGAGUUGUCCUGUUUCUAUUGUUAACGGCUGGUUUGCCCAUUCCGUCUUAAAAACCUUCUUUUCUUGAGACAUUAUAAAUCUCCUCUCCUACCUCUUUAAACAUUUCGUAGCCUUUUACAUUUCAAUUAUAUCUUACAUAAACAUCUUUUAAUAGUUAAAAAAGGAGCCGGAUACGAUAAAUGUCCCAGCUCCUU